rnacentral:rRNA from 1 species
UACAGAGGUCUCAAGCGUUGUUCGGAUUCAUUGGGCGUAAAGGGUGCGUAGGUGGCGCUGUAAGUCGGGCGUGAAAUUUCGGAGCUUAACUCCGAAACUGCAUUCGAUACUGCGGUGCUUGAGGACUGGAGAGGAGACUGGAAUUCAUGGUGUAGCAGUGAAAUGCGUAGAGAUCAUGAGGAAGACCAGUGGCGAAGGCGGGUCUCUGGACAGUUCCUGACACUGAGACACGAAGGCCAGGGGAGCAAACGGG